rnacentral:lncRNA from 1 species
GUACUCCAUCCCUACCAAUUACCACAAGCUCAAAACUCUCAUGGCACGGAGGACCUAUUUGGAAUGGCCCACAGAAAAGAGCAAGCAUGGACUCUUUUGGGCAAAUCUAAGAGCAUCCAUUAAUGUUAAGCUGGUCAACCAGGCAGAAGCAACAUGUUACACACAGCAAUAAGAAUACCCACCUCAUCAGGAAGCUGCUUUGGGGAGCAACAACACUGGGGAGUUCUGGUAAUGGUACCAUUCACAUCAGCAAGAAGCAAAAGAUGUUUCUGUCUUUAUGAUGUGGGAAUUCGUGCUUUUUAGCCCGACUGUGCCACUAGUGUUUGCUAAUAAAAAGUAGCGGGGUACUAUA